CCCUUCCUUCGGCCCCGCCCAGCCCCGCCGGCCGCCCGCUCCCUGGGGAACCGAGGGAGGAAUGGGCGGGGUCCUCAGGUGCCCGGCGACGUCAUCCAGCCCCCAAGGCUCCAGGACGCAAAGGGUCCCCUGAUCUGGCAGUCCCUGGACCUACCCUGGAGAGCGUGGGGGGACAAAGGCCGGACGCGCCGCCCGCUGCCGCCUCCAGGAAGCCCUCCCUUGCCAGGACAGUGGAGUUGGCCGGGUCCUUCCAAAGUGCCUACGGAAAGCUUUGUCCCAUCCUUGAAAAAUUGCUAAUGGGUUUGGAGAUACGAGGUGGAGAUGACUAGCAAUCAAACUCAAAGGUGGAAGUCACAUCGAGGCAGAUGAGCAGAUGAGGGGACCUAGAGAAGAAGAGAGGUGCAAGGAGAGCCCAGCCAGCAGGAACAUCUGCCCCAGUAGGCAGCACUGCCCCACAUCAGAGUCGAGGAAAGCAAAGCUCGGAUUGGAUAAAAGAAACUUGCAAACACGGUCAGUGCUUACUGCAUGUGGGCUCAGAGCACGUUACCCUCCUUCCCUGCAUGUUCCUGUGAAACGGGUUUACUGCUCUAACUCUCAGGGACACUGUGAAGACCAAACGAGAAAAUAGAAACAAACAUAAUUUAUAAACCAUAAAGUACUGACACCAAAAGAGGGGCGAGCACAGCAUUGUGAAUGUGCUGGUACUAAAUGGUUUGUUUUAAGAUGAUUUUAUGGUGUGUGAAUUUCACUUGAAUAAAUUUUUUUAAUGGAGUUCA
rnacentral:lncRNA from 1 species